rfam:Heterocephalus glaber contig160831, whole genome shotgun sequence.
GUCUAUGGCCAUACCACCCUGAACGUGCCUGAUCUCAUCUGAUCUCGGAAGCUAAGCAGGGUUGGGCCUGGUUAGUACUUGGAUGGGAGAAUUUUGUGUGCUAAAACUU